rnacentral:rRNA from 1 species
UGCCAGCAGCCGCGGUAACACGGGGGGCGCAAGCGUUAUUCGGAAUUAUUGGGCGUAAAGGGCGCGUAGGCGGCUUGGUAAGUCGGAUGUGAAAGCCCCGGGCUUAACCUGGGAAUUGCAUUCGAUACUGCCCGGCUAGAGUAUGGUAGAGGAAAGCGGAAUUCCGGGUGUAGCGGUGAAAUGCGUAGAUAUCCGGAGGAACAUCAGUGGCGAAGGCGGCUUUCUGGACCAAUACUGACGCUGAGGCGCGAAAGCGUGGGGAGCAAACAGGAUUAGAUA